rnacentral:lncRNA from 1 species
GGGAAGCCACUGAGGGUUUUCAAGCAAGGCAGUGACAUGAUCUGCUAGACAUUUUAGAAAGACUGUUCUUGGCUCUCACAUGAAGAAUGGCUGAAGAAAGAGCUGGCAAAAGGCAAUCUUUCCCAUGUGCUCCUACUCACAAAGAUUUCACAAUUUGAUGAUGACUCACACAUCUGCAUGGAAAAAUAUGCUACUACCCUCAGCUGCAGUAGUUUAUGCCUUUCGCUCAUCUAGAAUGAUUACCCAGAAGUAUGUAAUAGUCACCUAAUGGGGAGCAGGUGUGAGAAGAAACAGUCAUUUUGAACAAAGGGAAUGGACGUACAUUGCAGCAUGAAGGAUUUAGGUUAGACAUCCACUCGCGGGGAGAAUUCUCUUCUGUCAGCAAGAGCAGUGAAACACUGGGAUACGGGAUGAAAGCAGAGUUGUGGCACAUUCUCAGGGCAUUUGAAAAGAAAAGGCCAGGUGGUUUGAUUUCAAUGCUUUCUGAACUGCUCCUCUCAGAGGGAGGCGAAUGAAUUCUGUGAUGGCUGAGGAUCAUUUUCAGUUCUGUGAUUCAUGAGCUCCGAGUUCUGGGGACAUCUGAUUAAAAACCAAGUCAAAGAGCCGCAUAUUCCAGAGGUCCUUUCUGAUCAUCCUGAUUGAUACCGGGAUUUCAUUUUUGGCAUGGUGAGGGUGGCCAAUAAGUAUUUGUUAAGACCAAUUUUGUAUAAUGUCUUUUUCUUUGGAUGAUUUUUUACCUGCAUCUUCAAUGGUCAUAGAAAUGGUCUUUCCUAGGGGUUUAAAACGUAUUGCAAGUAGAGUAUCAUCUGGAAUACUCAAGAGAUCCAAAAAGCCAUCAGACAUUCUUUCUCUCCGUAUUAUUUGGAAUCGUCCAACUUUUAACAGGCUGUACAAUUGUCCUUUAUUUUCCUUUCUAAUUGGAAUUUCAACUAGGAAUGCCUGUAGGUAUUGAAUGCCCUCACUUCAAAUGACUUGCUGCACUAGGCAAUGAUAAAGGAUGCCCAUACAUUGGCCCAAAAUUGCUACACUGCCAUCAUUUUUGGUACGAUACCAUAUUAAAACCUAUGUCUUGAGAGACAGUGACAGUGCCUAAAAAUAAUGGAGAUGAGAUUUUCCCAGCUUUUCGGAGGAUCCUGAAAAUAAAAUACUACUUGCCUUCUAAGUGACGAAUGAUAUCUUCUUAUAAACAGCAUCGUAAGAUCACACACACAUACACAUACCCACGAAAAUCACAUAAAGAUGAGAAAUGGGCAUUUGAGUUUCUAGUGAAUAUUUUCUAGAUCCAUGGGUGAGCAGCAGUGGAUGUGCAGUGAAAUUCACAGCAGGCAGAUGGGAACGUGGAGAAAUUCUACAAACCUUUGGGAGCCAGACAGCUCCAACCU